rnacentral:tRNA from 1 species
UCCCUGGUGGCUCAGAUGGUAAAGAUUCUGUCUGUGACGCAGGAGACCUGGGUUCAAUCCCUGGUCAGGGAG